ACACAUUUCGAUCGAUUUCUAUACACAUUAGUGUACACUUCAAAUAUUAAAUGGCUGAAAGAGAUGGAAGAGGUGUUUUCAAAAGAUUUAAACAAAAAUUUUUUUGAAAACAUUCCUGGUCUUACUAAUGAAGACACAGCUUCUCAGGACAGUAGCUCUGCUACAUCUUCGCAUCCAAACAUCAACCAGGAAGUAUUAGCUAAUACAAGCAACGACCAGCAAGCACCAAUUACUGUAACUACGACUGCCACUGGAAAUACUGCGAGAGCUAAAAAGAGAACUAAAGAAAUUUUUCAAGCUGUUUCUGAUCUCAAAAAGUAAAAUGAUGGUAUAAAUUCUGAGAGUGAAACCGUAUUUGAUGUGUUUGGAAGGAGUAUUACGUUACAACUUAAGAAUUUAUCGGCAGAGAAUGCUCUAAUAGCACAAAGUAGAAUCCAGAAUAUUCUGACAGAAUUUGGGAUAAAAGAACUUAGACAAAGAACUACUUCGUCUUUUUCUAAUCACAGCUACCAAACACCGUCUUCUGUAUAUUCAGACACGACUAAUGACUAUUAUCAGUUUGAUGAAACUUAUGUGGAUUCUCCGCCACAACUACCAACACCAGCUCCCUCUACAUCGCAAACAAUCUUUGCUGCAACAUCUACUCCAGUGCCUAAUGUCAACGCUACGCCAGAUUCUAUAAGCACUAAUGACAUCGUAGCAGCUGCGAUGUUUGCAGCUAUGGAAACAGAUGGAAGACAACAAGUUUGAUUUUUAUUUUUGUCUUUUUUGUACCCUUUGUUUGAAAUUAAUAAAAAAGUAAUAAAUUCA